AUGGAGCCGACCUUGAAAUACCACCCUUUAAUGUUUGAUGUUCUAACGUUGACCCGUAAUCCGGGUUGCGGACAGUGUCUGGUGGGUAGUUUGACUGGGGCGGUCUCCUCCUAAAGAGUAACGGAGGAGCACGAAGGUUGGCUAAUCCUGGUCGGACAUCAGGAGGUUAGUGCAAUGGCAUAAGCCAGCUUGACUGCGAGCGUGACGGCGCGAGCAGGUGCGAAAGCAGGUCAUAGUGAUCCGGUGGUUCUGAAUGGAAGGGCCAUCGCUCAACGGAUAAAAGGUACUCCGGGGAUAACAGGCUGAUACCGCCCAAGAGUUCAUAUCGACGGCGGUGUUUGGCACCUCGAUGUCGGCUCAUCACAUCCUGGGGCUGAAGUAGGUCCCAAGGGUAUGGCUGUUCGCCAUUUAAAGUGGUACGCGAGCUGGGUUUAGAACGUCGUGAGACAGUUCGGUCCCUAUCUGCCGUGGGCGCUGGAGAACUGAGGGGGGCUGCUCCUAGUACGAGAGGACCGGAGUGGACGCAUCACUGGUGUUCGGGUUGUCAUGCCAAUGGCACUGCCCGGUAGCUAAAUGCGGAAGAGAUAAGUGCUGAAAGCAUCUAAGCACGAAACUUGCCCCGAGAUGAGU
rnacentral:rRNA from 1 species